ACAAAGAUAUAGGUUAAAUAUCCCUUUCAUACGUAUAAAAGCAUAGUCGUAUUGCUGUACACUGAGAAUAGGUGAAAAUCCUCAAUCCACGCUUUCCAAGUUUACAAGCAAGAUGAAGGUCCUUGUCGUUGUUGUCUUAGCGUUAUGUCUGCUGACAGUAGAGACUGAAGCGCGGUUGUUUAGGGGUGGUUUGGGGAGCCUUUUAGGGGGCGCUGUACUAGGAUAUGGCGUUAGCUCUCUCAUGAAUAGACGAGGCGGAUAUUAUGGCGGACGUUAUGGUGGCGGAUUUUAUGGUGGCGGACAUUAUGGUGGCGGAUAUAAUUACGACCCAUAUCACCACCAUCAUCAUAGUCCUUAUGGUGGUUUAGGAUAUGAUUCCCCCUUCCUCGGCGGUGGACUGUUCUAGAAAACUAUCUGGUAAUUUACCAACUUACCGCUGACCGUCAGAAAACACCAUGUCUAUGUGAAAGUGUAUCGUGUGUAUACAUCGUUAUGUGUCGUCUGGAGUCCUUUUCGCCUUUCAAUUUAGAAAAUUGUAUUUUCCUUGUUUUGAAUAAAGUACUCAACUGCAAAUAAGUGCAAAUUAAAUGUGUUAACCGUUUUGAAAAGAAAUAUAGGAUUAUGGCGAAAACAAUUAGAUGUUGCCUAUUAUAAGCAGUUUUUUGUUAAUAAAUUUAUUAUUGAUCAUCUAAACAACAAUUAUAACAACAACUUUAUUUGAUUUAAAUUGAGAGAGGGAAGCAAUUUUAAGACACUCAGUUUUGUUUGGUAUACACUUUUUGCAACAUUUUUUUUCAAACAAUGAAUAAAAACAAUUUCCUGUGCA